rnacentral:rRNA from 1 species
GGUUAAGCGACUAAGCGUACACGGUGGAUGCCCUGGCAGUCAGAGGCGAUGAAGGACGUGCUAAUCUGCGAUAAGCGCCGGUAAGGUGAUAUGAACCGUUAUAACCGGCGAUUUCCGAAUGGGGAAACCCAGUGUGAUUCGUCACACUAUCAUUAACUGAAUCCAUAGGUUAAUGAGGCGAACCGGGGGAACUGAAACAUCUAAGUACCCCGAGGAAAAGAAAUCAACCGAGAUUCCCCCAGUAGCGGCGAGCGAACGGGGAGGAGCCCAGAGCCUGAAUCAGCAUGUGUGUUAGUGGAAGCGUCUGGAAAGGCGCGCGAUACAGGGUGACAGCCCCGUACACAAAAGCGCAUGUGCUGUGAGCUCGAUGAGUAGGGCGGGACACGUGGUAUCCUGUCUGAAUAUGGGGGGACCAUCCUCCAAGGCUAAAUACUCCUGACUGACCGAUAGUGAACCAGUACCGUGAGGGAAAGGCGAAAAGAACCCCGGCGAGGGGAGUGAAAAAGAACCUGAAACCGUGUACGUACAAGCAGUGGGAGCCCCACCACCAAAGCAUUCUCUGGUGUUGAAGGCCCUGCAAAGCAGCAUCGCGGUGGCGGAGCGUCGUUUGCGACGCCCAACACACAAAACAAGCGGUGAGUGCUUUGGGGUGG